CGGGGGUGGCCAUAAAGGUCGCGCUAGGGGGCGGAGACUCUCUCUCUCUGCGCGGCGGUGGCUGAGGUUGCUGGAUGGUCUGGUGAGCCCAAGUAGAGGAAUGAAAUGGACCAGAAGAGCAGCUCACUUCCAUUGUUGGCAUCAAAAGGACUGUAAAUCUCUAAUUCAAAUGCAGAGACUGUAAUUUGGAUUUACUUUAAAGCACUUGUGACCUGUUAUGCAUUUUGAAUGAAACAUGAAAAGUAUAUUGUAUGAAUGUAAAUGAAAUGCAAGUCUUAUUAAACAGAGUGAAACAA